rnacentral:rRNA from 1 species
AGUGAACGCUGGCGGUAGGCCUAACACAUGCAAGUCGAACGGCAGCACAGUAAGAGCUUGCUCUUACGGGUGGCGAGUGGCGGACAGGUGAGGAAUACAUCGGAAUCUACUUUUUCGUGGGGGAUAACGUAGGGAAACUUACGCUAAUACCGCAUACGACCUACGGGUGAAAUCAGGGGAUCUUCGGACCUUGCGCGAUUGAAUGAGCCGAUGUCGGAUUAGCUAGUUGGCGGGGUAAAGGCCCACCAAGGCGACGAUCCGUAGCUGGUCUGAGAGGAUGAUCAGCCACACUGGAACUGAGACACGGUCCAGACUCCUACGGGAGGCAGCAGUGGGGAAUAGUGGACAAUGGGCGAAAGCCUGAUACAGCCAUACCGCGUGGGUGAAGAAGGCCUUCGGGUUGUAAAGCCCUUUUGUUGGGAAAGAAAAGCAGCAGGUUAAUACCCCGCUGUUCUGACGGUACCCAAAGAAUAAGCACCGGCUAACUUCGUG